rnacentral:lncRNA from 1 species
AAUAAUGACCAUUUUGACUUUUACCGUUCAGGAGUUAUGGUUCUUGAAAGAUUGUGAAAUGGCGUUUCCAUUCACGUUGUUGCAUUUACUCAUGAACCAUUCAAUCUAAGCUUUUCAAAUUUUAAGAUGUUGAUACUGAUGACAAAAUGGAGGUCAAAUUUGAUAUUGACGAUUUUCACUUUCACCAUUCAUCAGUAUAAAUGGUUCUUGAGAUAUUGCCAGGACAGAAAUAAAUAUUAAUAAAUCCGGUUUGCUGUCGUUGUGACAGCCUCUUGUUU